GUUUCGGCUGUGCUUCUGGAAGAGAGACGGUGAGAGGGAGCUGCGAGGAGAGGACAGCAGGAGAACUCUGCGCUGUUUCUUUCUGAAAAGAGGCUGAAUUCUCGUCGCCUGGCACGGUAGAAGCUCAAUGAAUAUUUGUAGAAUGUUGACAAUUGAAUGGCUCCAAGUCCCAACACAUCGUUCUGGGAGAUUUAAAUUCUGAUGAAGCGAUUGGGAUUGACUGAUGAGGAAAUGGGUUGGGUUCCACUGAGCACAGAUAGGAAAGGACAGUCCACAUGGUGGGAGGAGCAGGAAGCCGGGAAGCAGGUGAUACCUGUGCAGAAACGACCUGGUCCACUAUGUCUGGGAUGUAGCUUACGGGUCCGUUGGAGACCAGGGGACUUAGGACGUGGGUGAAGAGCAGUUGGUGGAGGAUGGGUAAAUGGCACACCCUCAGGGAGUCUGCCCUGUCUGUCUUUGAGCCACUGUUUCUAAAACUUCACAUUUCCUUGCCACUACUUUUGCAAUCUCUGUGUACCCACCUCUAUUAUUGACUUAAUGAUUUUCACAUUGAUUCUCUCUUUUACUUUACUAAGUUUGUUUUCAUAUCAGAAUGAUAGAACUGUUAAAAUAAAAAUAAUUAA